UGGGGAAUUUUGGACAAUGGGGGCAACCCUGAUCCAGCAAUGCCGCGUGUGUGAAGAAGGCCUUCGGGUUGUAAAGCACUUUUGUCCGGAAAGAAAUCGCCCUGGCUAAUAUCCGGGGUGGAUGACGGUACUGGAAGAAUAAGCACCGGCUAACUACGUGCCAGCAGCCGCGGUAAUACGUAGGGUGCGAGCGUUAAUCGGAAUUACUGGGCGUAAAGCGUGCGCAGGCGGUUGUGCAAGACAGAUGUGAAAUCCCCGGGCUUAACCUGGGAAUGGCAUUUGUGACUGCACGGCUAGAGUGUGUCAGAGGGGGGUAGAAUUCCACGUGUAGCAGUGAAAUGCGUAGAUAUGUGGAGGAACACCGAUGGCGAAGGCAGCCCCCUGGGAUAACACUGACGCUCAUGCACGAAAGCGUGGGGAGCAAACAGGAUUAGAUACCCUGGUAGUCCACGCCCUAAACGAUGUCAACUAGUUGUCGGGUCUUAAUUGACUUGGUAACGCAGCUAACGCGUGAAGUUGACCGCCUGGGGGAGUACGUCGCAAGAUU
rnacentral:rRNA from 1 species